GUGUGGUUAGUCAGCCCAAAAUCAAGACGAUGCCUCAUCAUAUGUAUCUGAUGCCUCAAUUAUUACAAUCAACACAAUGUGUUCAAUUCAAAAACAAAUUCAUGAAAAAUAUACCAAAUGCUUCAGAUCUAUAACAGAACAAGAAGCAUGCAUCAUACAUCCCCUAUCUGUAGUCAAAAUCAUAUCUCCAUACUCUUCACCAACAUUUCAUUAUCAGUUCUUUUAGUGAAUAUGUGCUCAUAUUCAAUUAUUUCUAGGAAUAUAUCUAAUAAUAGCAUCUCUCACAAACCGGAUAACACGUAAGAAUAGGUUCGAAUGUAGAAUUAUUGUGAGGAUAGGAUUAAAACACAAAUGUAAGGGGAGAGCUUCAAAUGCUUGGACAAAAGAAGUGUUGUUGAGGGAAUGAAACAUAUUCCAAUUUCUAUGAUUACAACUACUUGCAAACAAUAGCCCUAGUUUUAGAUAUUUUCACUGUAUUUUCUAGGUUAAACUAAUUUGAUAAAUAAGGAAAUGAAACAUGUAAUGACCUGACAAUUUUGCAGCAUCUGCAUCUUAAAAUUAGAAAGCAAAGCAUGGAAAAAAAACACUCCAUUUUGUCAUGAUCUGUGAAAUCAGCUACUAUAUAUGAUGUCAAUGGUGUUUCUUUUCAUUAAGAAUGACAUAAGAAAGAUAUUAUGCAGAGCAUAGACAAUGAAGCAUGCAAGGUCUGCAAUAGCCUAUUAGAUUCUAAUUCUCCAUUUGUGCAACAUUAUUGAGGUUUAAGCAUCUUUUUAUCCAAGUGUUUAGCUCUAUCUUUCUAUCUAUUAUUUCUGUAUUAUUCUACUUUUCCAUGCAUCAACCACUUAGACCGAAUCCUGCUCUUUAAAUCACAUUCAUCUCUGCCAUUUUCACUCACCUCGUCGUCCCUGAUUUCCAACAAACAUUUGUUUGGAGAAUGAAUGGGGCGAAAGGUAGCAUUGAGAUCAACAUGCCUCCUAUCAGCAAAGAAAAAAAAGGAUCAGAAGCUAGCAAGAAAAUUGCUGAGAAAUACAGCUGCAAAAGCUUCAUUCUGGAAGUGUGGGAGUUUUGCAAAGAAGACACCAACAGAGUGACGUUUUCGCUUAAAGUGGGGCUUGCAGUUCUUCUAGUAUCUCUUCUGAUACUAUGCCGAGCGCCUUACCAAGUUUUCGGUGCCAGCAUUAUCUGGUCUAUCCUCACCGUUGCCAUCAUGUUUGAGUACACCGUCGGUGCAACUUUUAAUAGAGGAUUCAACCGAGCACUAGGCAGCCUGCUCGCUGGAGCCUUGGCCAUCGUCAUAGCAGAGUUAGCCUUGAAGUCAGGACAAACUGCUGAACCUGUUAUAAUUGGUUUCAGCAUCUUCAUAGUUGGAACUGUGACAUCAUUUAUGAAGCUGUGGCCAUCUUUAGUGCCAUAUGAGUAUGGAUUUCGAGUCAUACUUUUUACCUACUGUUUGAUCAUAGUUUCUGGAUAUCGUAUGGGGAACCCCAUCAUGACAGCCAUGGACCGUCUCUACUCGAUUGCUAUUGGAGCUAUAGUUGCAGUUGCAGUCAAUGUGCUCAUCUUUCCUAUAUGGGCUGGGGAACUGUUGCACAAGGAGAUUGUUAGCCACUUCACCUCUCUGGCUGAUGCUCUUCAAGAGUGUGUGGGGAAGUAUCUAAAAGAUGAUGGAUGCCAACAUCCCGAGUUUACAAAGACUGUGAUGGACGACUUUCCUGAUGAACCUGCAUAUCGAAAAUGUCGAUCCAUAUUAAACACCUCGGCAAAAAUAGAAUCACUGGCAAGUUCGGCGAAAUGGGAGCCACCCCAUGGUAGGUUCGUCCACAUCUUUUAUCCAUGGUCAGAAUAUGUGAAGGUGGGUGCAGUCCUCAGAUAUUGUACAUAUGAGGUCAUGGCUCUUCAUGGUGUUCUACAUUCAGAAAUUCAGGCACCAUAUAGCCUGAGAAUCGCGUUCCAGAAAGAGAUUGAAGAUGCAGCAAGAGAGGCGGCAGAGCUAGUUCGUUGUCUGGGAACAGACAUAUCUAACAUGCAACGAAGCCUCAAACCAUGCCUCCUCAUAAAGGUCCAUAGCUCUGCAGAAGCACUCCAACGCGCACUUGAUAUGCACUCGUACAUCCUCACAUCUCAUCACGGCCCUCCAGAUACUUCAUCUAAGGCACAGUCGAGGCUCUCUCAUGCACUGUCGUCGACCUUCUCUAAUCUGUCAAGCCACAUGAGUGAUCUUGACAACAAGCUUCUCGAGCACAGCUCUGACCUCCCAUCCCAACCACUGCAGGAAGAAUCCUAUCAUGAGACGAUGAGAAAACAAUCAAGAAGGCUCCAUUCCUGGCCAUCAAGAGAAGUCGAUGCUUUUGAAGAUGAAGGGAAUUUCAGUUCAGAUUGCAUUCCAAGGAUGAAAGCACUGGAGAGCACUGCUACUCUAUCACUUGCAACUUUUACCUCACUGCUCAUAGAGUUUGUGGCCCGGCUCGACCACUUGGUUGAGGCAGUCAAUCAGCUCUCAAAGAUGGCAAGAUAUGAGCAGGAGGCUCGCUAAGUAGGAAACAUAGUUACAUCUGUUAAUUAAAGCAUAUACAGUAUUGAUAUUGAUGUACAAGGUUCUGCCUCUAGGUGAUUGGGAAGCUUCUUUUUAUGAAUAAUUGGAAGGAAAAUAAAAUAAGAAACCUACUUUUGUGCUCGAAUCAGUACUACUUUGCAGAGAUUUUAUUUCCACCUUCCAUCUAGUGUAAUGCUUCAUCUUGUCCAACAUUACUAGAUUAACAUAAGAAUCUAUAUUAAGUUGAUUCUAGCAAGAGGCAUAAAAGUCAGCGUCACUACUGAGAAAAAGUAUUCAGAAUUAUGAGAUUUUCUGAUAACUCGAAUCUACAACUAGAUUUCCCAAUAACCUCAUCAUAUAUACAUACUUACUACUUACACAAGUAUUAGUCCCAAAAGUCAGAUUUGAGAUGGAAUUAUAAAAGAACAGUAACCAGAACGGUUAAUCAUGUUUUGGAAUCCCAAUAUCCAGCAUUUUCCAAAAAACACAAAUAACGUUUUUCCCGAAA